UGGGGAAUAUUGCGCAAUGGGGGGAACCCUGACGCAGCCAUGCCGCGUGAAUGAAGAAGGCCUUCGGGUUGUAAAGUUCUUUCGGUAUUGAGGAAGGUUGAUGUGUUAAUAGUACAUCAAAUUGACGUUAAAUACAGAAGAAGCACCGGCUAACUCCGUGCCAGCAGCCGCGGUAAUACGGAGGGUGCGAGCGUUAAUCGGAAUAACUGGGCGUAAAGGGCACGCAGGCGGUUAUUUAAGUGAGGUGUGAAAGCCCCGGGCUUAACCUGGGAAUUGCAUUUCAGACUGGGUAACUAGAGUACUUUAGGGAGGGGUAGAAUUCCACGUGUAGCGGUGAAAUGCGUAGAGAUGUGGAGGAAUACCGAAGGCGAAGGCAGCCCCUUGGGAGUGUACUGACGCUCAUGUGCGAAAGCGUGGGGAGCAAACAGGAUUAGAUACCCUGGUAGUCCACGCUGUAAACGCUGUCGAUUUGGGGAUUGGGCUUAAAGCUUGGUGCCCGUAGCUAACGUGAUAAAUCGACCGCCUGGGGAGUACGGCCGCAAGGUUA
rnacentral:rRNA from 1 species